rnacentral:lncRNA from 10 species
CUCGGCUCCAACCGGUUCCACUUCUUCAGGCUCAGGAUUUUCACUCUUCUCGAAUGGGGGUGGCCCUCCCCCAAUCUUCUGAGUCGCAACAGCAUCUCCCUCCCUCCAGGACCUCAGAGCCAGAGCUGGGCGAGAGGCCCUGACCUCCGGGGUGCCAGAAGCCCAGGAAGCACACAUCAAGGCUCACUUGCCAGCGGGGUGCUGCCAAUAAAAUGUAGUCACGUGGAAUUUGGAAUGUGGAAAGGAGGUAGAAGUCAUCCUUUCCUCCCCCAUAGCAGCAGGUGUGCAGGCUCUGGUGGUCAGCUGGACUCCAUACUCCCCCACCAGUCACCAGCCUGGGGACCGUGGGGCUGCAAGGACCUCAGCAGCGGUUUCCCAAGUUUCCUGACUUCUUCCAUCCUCUGGAAAUCAGCUGUGGUAAAGUAGCCUGAAAGCCAGUGGUGCAACCCCAUCCCCACAACCUUCACCACCUCUAGCACCUCCAGUGAUAAGCACUAAUUGCCUAUAUACAACCCUUUUUUGUUUGAAA